UCCACGCAGUAAACGAUGAAUGUUAGUCGUUGGGUAGCUAGUCUAUUCAGUGAUGCAGUUAACACAUUAAACAUUCCGCCUGGGGAGUACGGUCGCAAGAUUAAAACUCAAAGGAAUAGACGGGGACCCGCACAAGUGGUGGAGCAUGUGGUUUAAUUCGAAGAUACGCGAAGAACCUUACCUAGCCUUGACAUAUUUGAAAAUCCACCAGAGAUGGAGGAGUGCCUUCGGGA
rnacentral:rRNA from 1 species